UACGUAGGGGGCAAGCGUUGUCCGGAAUCAUUGGGCGUAAAGAGCGUGUAGGCGGCCCGAUAAGUCCGCUGUGAAAGUCCAGGGCUCAACCCUGGGAUGCCGGUGGAUACUGUCGGGCUCGAGUCCGGAAGAGGAUCGCGGAAUUCCAGGUGUAGCGGUGAAAUGCGUAGAUAUCAGGAGGAACACCGGUGGCGAAGGCGGAUCUCUGGGCCGUAACUGACGCUGAGGAGCGAAAGCAUGGGGAGCGAACAGG
rnacentral:rRNA from 1 species